rnacentral:rRNA from 1 species
AUUGAACGCUGGCGGCAGGCCUAACACAUGCAAGUCGAGCGGUAGCACAGAGAGCUUGCUCUCGGGUGACGAGCGGCGGACGGGUGAGUAAUGUCUGGGAAACUGCCUGAUGGAGGGGGAUAACUACUGGAAACGGUAGCUAAUACCGCAUAACGUCGCAAGACCAAAGUGGGGGACCUUCGGGCCUCAUGCCAUCAGAUGUGCCCAGAUGGGAUUAGCUAGUAGGUGGGGUAGCGGCUCACCUAGGCGACGAUCCCUAGCUGGUCUGAGAGGAUGACCAGCCACACUGGAACUGAGACACGGUCCAGACUCCUACGGGAGGCAGCAGUGGGGAAUAUUGCACAAUGGGCGCAAGCCUGAUGCAGCCAUGCCGCGUGUGUGAAGAAGGCCUUCGGGUUGUAAAGCACUUUCAGCGGGGAGGAAGGCGGUGAGGUUAAUAACCUCAUCGAUUGACGUUACCCGCAGAAGAAGCACCGGCUAACUCCGUGCCAGCAGCCGCGGUAAUACGGAGGGUGCAAGCGUUAAUCGGAAUUACUGGGCGUAAAGCGCACGCAGGCGGUCUGUCAAGUCGGAUGUGAAAUCCCCGGGCUCAACCUGGGAACUGCAUUCGAAACUGGCAGGCUAGAGUCUUGUAGAGGGGGGUAGAAUUCCAGGUGUAGCGGUGAAAUGCGUAGAGAUCUGGAGGAAUACCGGUGGCGAAGGCGGCCCCCUGGACAAAGACUGACGCUCAGGUGCGAAAGCGUGGGGAGCAAACAGGAUUAGAUACCCUGGUAGUCCACGCCGUAAACGAUGUCGAUUUGGAGGUUGUGCCCUUGAGGCGUGGCUUCCGGAGCUAACGCGUUAAAUCGACCGCCUGGGGAGUACGGCCGCAAGGUUAAAACUCAAAUGAAUUGACGGGGGCCCGCACAAGCGGUGGAGCAUGUGGUUUAAUUCGAUGCAACGCGAAGAACCUUACCUGGUCUUGACAUCCACAGAACUUUCCAGAGAUGGAUUGGUGCCUUCGGGAACUGUGAGACAGGUGCUGCAUGGCUGUCGUCAGCUCGUGUUGUGAAAUGUUGGGUUAAGUCCCGCAACGAGCGCAACCCUUAUCCUUUGUUGCCAGCGGUUAGGCCGGGAACUCAAAGGAGACUGCCAGUGAUAAACUGGAGGAAGGUGGGGAUGACGUCAAGUCAUCAUGGCCCUUACGACCAGGGCUACACACGUGCUACAAUGGCAUAUACAAAGAGAAGCGACCUCGCGAGAGCAAGCGGACCUCAUAAAGUAUGUCGUAGUCCGGAUUGGAGUCUGCAACUCGACUCCAUGAAGUCGGAAUCGCUAGUAAUCGUAGAUCAGAAUGCUACGGUGAAUACGUUCCCGGGCCU